CCCCAGUCCACUCGGAUUGGCCCGCCUUCUCUAUUAGGACGGACGUCCCGCCCUCUGGCAGUUCCCCGGCUGAGGCGGGGCGGCUGGAGCUAUGGCUGGUGUGACCGAUGUGCAGCGGCUACAGGCCCGUUUGGAGGAGCUGGAGCGCUGGGUGUACGGGCCCGGCGGGUCGCGCGGCUCGCGGAAGGUGGCUGAUGGGCUGGUCAAGGUGCAGGUGGCUUUGGGGAACAUUGCCAGCAAGAGGGAGCGGGUGAAGAUUCUAUACAAAAAGAUUGAAGACCUGAUCAAAUACCUGGAUCCUGAGUACAUGGACCGCAUUGCCAUACCCGAUGCCUCUAAGCUGCAGUUCAUCUUAGCAGGUAGUGCUGGACACGAUGUGCACAUGCAUCUGGGAGGUGAUUGUGGGGGAAGGUGGGCACAGAAAUGGUCUUCCUGCCAGUCCUCUCACGGAUACAGCCCUGGAAAGCUGCUCUCUGGAAUCUGGCCUGGCUCUGGGCUGAAGCCAGAGGCGGUCCUGUGGUCCUCUAGGAGGCAUUGGGUAUGUAUACUUGGGAGCCAUCUGCAGGCCACGGUGCCACCCACAGUGGGAGCUACUCUAGUGUUCUGUCUAAGGCUUGCCUCUCAAAUUUUCUUGCAGAACCUUCCUUCCUUCUGGUCAGUAACAGAGGACCUUCUAGGAAAGGGUGGGGGCAGAGAACAUUGCAUGGACCAACAUCACAGCUCACGGCAAGGCUGGAUCCUUAACCCACUGAGCGAGGCCAGGGAUCAAAUUUGCAUCCACAUGGAUGCUAGUCAGCCUCGUUUCCACUGAGCCACGACAGGAACUCCUUGACAAGCAUUCUUGCCUCCAGAGGUUUGACAUGACAGUCCUCCCUUUUUUUUUUUUUUUUUUGCCAUUUCUAGGGCAGCAUAUGGAGGUUCCCAGGCUAGGGGUCAAAUGGAGCUGUAGCUGCUGGCCUACACCACAGCUCACAGCAACGCCGGAUCCUUAACCCACUGAGCAAGGCAGGGAUCGAACCCGCAACCUCAUGCUUCCUAGUCGGAUUCGUUAACCACUGAACCAUGACGGGAACUCCAAUAGUCCUCCCUUCUUGAAUACCUUUCCCACUCUGCAGCCAUUGAAAACCCCUGUACACAGGGCCAGCCCAGGGCCCGCUUUGCUCAUUGGACUUUCCUGUUACUGUCCCAGCUCUCCAGGAAUCUGUAAUUGUCUGUGUCUCUCAGAUCCACUGAGCAGAACCUGCCUGGUAGUCUUCUGCAUUCUCUCUUUCAGACCUUCCCAGGAGCCCUUGGGUGUGGGGACCUGAAUCUGAAGUAGUUUGUCUCCAGGGGCCUGGGAGGGGCUCUCUGAGUUUGUUGAUAGGAGGCUAGAGGGCAAGGCCUUAAAAUUAAAACUUGGAGGAGUUCCCAUUGUGGCUCAGCAGAAACAAAUCAUAGUAUCCGUAAAGACACAGGUUCAAUCCCUGGCCUCGCUCAAUGGGUUAAGGAUCUGGCGUUGCUGUGAGCUUUGGUGUAGGUUGUAGACACAGCUCGGAUCUGGUGUAGCUGUGGCUGUGUUGUAGGCCAGCAGCUACAGCUCCAAUUCAGCCCCUGGCCUGGGAACCUUCAUGUGUUUCUGGCACAGCCCUUAAAAAAAAAAAAAAAAAAAAGACUACAAAACUUGGAGAAAGGUGGGAUUUGAAGGAACUUAGAGGCUCCUGGGCUCAAGAUAGGUCAGACCAGAGGCACCCAGGAGAGGUGGAGGCAGGAUGAGGGGCUGUGCAUGUAGAGAAGGGGUCAGUAGGCAGAGUGGCUCCCCCAAGCUCCAGGACCCACUGUGUCCCCUGCCUGGCCCUUGGCCUCUUGAAUGGGAGUGGCCAUGUUCAGGCUUGCCUCACUGCCACUGUCUUGUCUGUUUGUGUCUCAGAGGAGCAGUUUAUCCUCUCCCAGGUCGCGCUCCUGGAGCAGGUGGAGGCCUUGGUGCCCAUGCUGGACAGUGCUCACAUCAAAGCCGUUCCUGAGCAUGCUGCCCGCCUGCAGCGCUUGGCCCAGAUCCACAUCCAGCAGCAGGACCAGUGUGUGGAGAUCACUGAGGAGUCCAAGGCUCUCCUGGAGGAAUACAACAAGACUACAAUGCUUCUCUCCAAGCAGUUUGUGCAGUGGGAUGAACUACUUUGCCAGCUAGAGGCUGCCAAGCAAGUGAAGCCAGCCGAGGAAUGAUGGCUGCUGCCCACCCCAGGUGGAUCAGGACAACCAGGCUUCAAGCCCUGGGACAACCUGCCCUUGUAACAGGCAGAGCAGAGGCAGCUCUCUAUUUAUUGGAUUCACACCCUACCUAGACAGGCUUAGGUGGGGCUCUUGCUACUUGAGAUUUGCUAUUUGCGCCCCUCCCCUCAUCAGUGUCCUAGUCCAGUGACAAUAAACUGUGGAGAUCAUUGAA